rnacentral:rRNA from 1 species
AUUGAACGCUGGCGGCAUGCCUUACACAUGCAAGUCGAGCGGCAGCGCGGGGGCAACCCUGGCGGCGAGCGGCGAACGGGUGAGUAAUACAUCGGAACGCGUCCAGUAGUGGGGGAUAACCAGUCGAAAGAUUGGCGAAUACCGCAUACGAUCUACGGAUGAAAGCGGGGGACCGCAAGGCCUCGCGCUAUUGGAGCGGCCGAUGUCGGAUUAGCGAGUUGGCGGGGUAAAAGCCCACCAAGGCGACGAUCCGUAGCUGGGCUGAGAGGACGAUCCGCCACGCGGGAACUGGGACACGGUCCAGACUCCUGCGGGAGGCAGCAGUGGGGAAUUUUGGACAAUGGGGGCAACCCUGAUCCAGCCAUGCCGCGUGAGUGAAGAAGGCCUUCGGGUUGUAAAGCUCUUUCGGCGGGACGAAACGGUUUGCGCCAACACCGCAAACUAAUGACGGUACUCGCAGAAGAAGCACCGGCUAGCUACGUGCCAGCCGCCGCGGUAA